AUGGUGGAGUGGACCUGCAGGGGAGAGGAAGGAGGCCGGCGAGAGUGGGAAGGAUUGGUGGGUUCUCUACUGAUGGUGUUGGAGAUUGCAAGGAUUGUUCAAUCUGGUUUCAGGAGUGUGUGCUGCUCCUAUAAGUUAACUCAGGUACUGAUCGGUGUGGAUUUGCCGCCUCACGAUUUCCCUUACAACCACGACUUCAGUUGGCUUGGGUGUUCAGAUCCGCCACCGCACCGUCUCCCCCAUCCGCAUCGACAGCGACCGUCCUGGCAUCGGCCAGCUGCUGGUGCCAUGGCCAAGAAGCCGCUGCCCAGUAGCAGCGAUGGGUGUCGUCACGCCGUGCUGCGGACGUAUGCACUCACGACGCGUCUGGCUCAAGGCCUCACCAACCAACAUGCCACAUCUUUGCUUGUAGAUAAGCGCUCCAAUCGCCAUAUUUACAAGACGAACCACUGUGUCAGAAGCACAACAAGCCAUUCGAGUAUAUUCAUCGCCCUCGCAAAGCAAGUCAAUCCGAAAGUUCAAAGGCAAGAAAAUCCAUCUAAAGCCUGGAAAGUACAUUCUCUGUGA
rnacentral:rRNA from 1 species